rnacentral:pre_miRNA from 1 species
AUUAACAUUUGACCAUUCCUCUUAUUUGAAAAAAACUUUACGAUUAAUAUUUUUGUUCUUACUGGAUAAUAAAACAUAAAUAAUACUUUAUGCGUAACUAAUUUUUUAAAGUUUUUAUAUAAAUUUUUCAAAUAAGACGAAUGGUUAAACGUUGGACACGGAAA